CAGCCGCCACGGUAAUACGGAGGGCGCGAGCGUUACCCGGAUUUACUGGGCGUAAAGGGCGUGUAGGCGGCCUGGGGCGUCCCAUGUGAAAGGCCACGGCUCAACCGUGGAGGAGCGUGGGAUACGCUCAGGCUAGAGGGUGGGAGAGGGUGGUGGAAUUCCCGGAGUAGCGGUGAAAUGCGCAGAUACCGGGAGGAACGCCGAUGGCGAAGGCAGCCACCUGGUCCACUUCUGACGCUGAGGCGCGAAAGCGUGGGGAGCAAACCGGAUUAGAGACCCGUGUAGUCCCUGUCUCUUAUAC
rnacentral:rRNA from 1 species